UACGUCCUAAUACUUAAUGUCUCUCUGUAUGUUUUUUCCUUGAAACCCCAGCUGCUGGAGUCAUGUGAAUAUUGGAGAAUAUCUGUUUUUAUUUUUAAAUUCUAUUUCUAAUCUUCAUGGAUGCAACUUCCCCCACACUCUGGAAAAAGCAACUUGCAUAACUACUGAAAGGAAAGUGAAGGGAAAGUCUUUCUACUCCUCUUCAUACAGUUCUUUUGAUGGACAUGACUGUGCUGUGAAAGGGAGGAUGGAGCAACUCACCAGAUGCCCAGUUUUUGGUGAAGGACUGUAGCACACUGAAGUGAUGAGUAGAGGCGUCAAAAUCACAGUCCUUUUGGAAAUUGCAGGAGCUGUGCAGCAAGAUCAUCAAAGCCUCCUGUCCUCAAUUACCGGGAAGAUAUGGUGGAUACCUGGMGGGAAUUACCAGAGGUUGCUUCAUGCUAUGAUGUGGACUUUUUCUUACUCAAGUGUAAUUACCUCUAUCUUGAUGGGAAAUGAGAACAUCACAGCAAGAAUUUCUGGCCAAWUCAGUGUUGUCACCUCUUUGCUCUUGACCAAGCCUAUUAAAAAAGCAUUUGUGUUUCUGACUGAUCUCGCAGUGAUGCUUCUUCGUGCUCCUGACUAUCUCUGCUCAGCCACAGGAUGUGUAAGCCCUCCGUAGCCACAGAAACGUGUUUGUGUUGACUGUUGUGAUGCCUGCUCUCUUCCCUAGUCAGUACCUUGAAAACCAAUGAAUGAAUUCCUGGCUCUUAAAGAGGAAGCCAGACAGAAGAAGAUAAAGGCAAACUUGCAGAUUUCUCUUCCCAGCAGAUAGACCUGUCUCGUUAAUCAGAAGAUGUCUUUUUCCUGUUUGUGAGGGAAAAUAGCCACUAUUUCAGUAGGCUGAAGGACAAACUGGUGCUCACAAGCAUUAUUUUCUUUAAAUAGGACUAGAUUCAGUCUUCUGACACUGGGUCAGUCCAGGUGCCUCUGAAAAAUCUUAUUGUGCUCAGAGGGAGCCGAAGGUGGCAGGAUCAUCAUUGCCCCAGGUGUAACCRAAACUCCAGAACUCUUGCACGGAUACCAUGAGGUCACAUCCAGCAGUUGCUCUGUAAUCUCCUGCCAAUGUCCUGAAUGAUCCUGGGCCUACUAAACUGAUGAGAAACUCCACUCCUAGCAGUAAGUCUAUGGCUUUACAUUUACUUGUGAUUUUU
rnacentral:lncRNA from 1 species